GUUCAAAUAAAUUCAAUGGGAAAACCAUGCCAAAUUACUCUAAUGAGGAAUUGCUUGCAAUAAGAAAGCAAUACGUACGUGAUUGGAUCUUGGAUAAAGACAACAUAAGAAUACUAGAUGCGUUGGAGGUGUACGAAUUGUUGUAGGACAUUUGUUGUUUUGUAAAAAUGUAGGGCAGUUUGUUUUUGUAUAGUUUGUAAGAUACACAAAUGUAUAUGAAUACAUUGUGGAAAUUAUUAUUGUAAUAAUAUUAUUGAUUUCAAGGUUCUUAUGUCAGAAUGUAUAGAUGAUUGUUCAUUCA